rnacentral:lncRNA from 1 species
UAGUUACAGUUGAUCGUAUCAAUUCAUAUUUUGAUGUAAGUUGAUUGACUCAAGAUCAAAUUUGGCUCAGUAAUUUGGAUCCAUUUCAAUAGGUUAAUCUGAUCGAUUGUAAUCAACCAAUUUGAUAUCUAAGGCAAGUAUUUAGAUGGUGAUUAUUUAAUUGGUUCCAUUAUCUGACCUGAUCUAUUUUGAUUGGUGUCUAAGAAAAGCAGCGGAG